AAGAAAAAAAAAAAACCCUUAGAAUCAUAUUGUCAAAUUGUAGUGUGCUAAAUUCAAUGUGAAUUUAUUCUUCCUUUAAUGUUCAAAAAUUUCGAAUAAAUGUUUUUGGACUAUAAAUUGAAGCACUAUGGAUUUCGUGUACCCACACAUACCUAAUGAAGUUUGAAGAAGGAAAGGAAUUGUAAGUGUUCAUCAGAAAAAGAGGUAUGAAGGGAGGCGGUGGAAGAAACAUUAGAGCAGUUGUUGUGAUGAUGUUUUUACUGAUGCUUGUGCCUUCACAGCAUGCCUUUGUAUCUCUUCCCAGAUGCUUGCGUUGCGUCAAAUGCCUGCUACAAAAUUGGGACAAUAUACAUUCAUGCGGUCCUGUAUGUGUGGGCUGUUCUGGAGUCUCUCAUGCUUCCCUUAAUUCAGAUUCAAAUUCCAAUUGUAUCAUUGACUGUGCCCAAUCCUUGUGCUCCACUUAUAUUAGUGAUGAUGAAAAAUUGGAAGGGUGCAUGACUUCUUGUUCCAAAAGUUGUAGCAGCAACUAAGGCAAUCCACUGAAUAAAAUGCAAGUCCCAGAUAUUGUAGUUAAAAUCUUCAAAUAUGAUAUGAGAAACUUUGGGAUUAAAGAAUAGUGUAAUCUGUAUAAUAAAGAGCCUUGAUACAUGCUAGAAGGCUAUUUAAUUAAUAAAAAUGAUUUGCCAAUUUAUCUA